rnacentral:rRNA from 1 species
UACAGAGGUGGCAAGCGUUGUUCGGAAUUACUGGGCGUAAAGGGCGCGUAGGCGGCCUUCUAAGUCAGACGUGAGAUCCCCCGGCUUAACCUGGGAACUGCGUCUGAUACUGGGGGGCUUGAGUAUGGGAGAGGGAUGUAGAAUUCCAGGUGUAGCGGUGAAAUGCGUAGAUAUCUGGAGGAAUACCGGUGGCGAAGGCGGCAUCCUGGACCAUAACUGACGCUGAGGCGCGAAAGCUAGGGGAGCAAACGGG